rnacentral:rRNA from 1 species
AUUCCAGCUCCAAUAGCGUAUAUUAAUGUUGUUGCAGUUAAAAAGCUCGUAGUUGGAUUUCUGAUGGGAUCGACCCGGUCGGCUCCGAAAGGGGUCGCACUGGUGGUCUGUCCGGUCAUCCUCGAGGGGAGGCUUUCUGGCAUUCAUUUGUUGGGGAGUCGACGCUCGUCGUUUACUGUGAACAAAUUAGAGUGUUCAAAGCAGGCUUAGGCCGUUGAAUACAUUAGCAUGGAAUAAUGAGAUAGGACUUUGGUGGUCUAUUUUGUUGGUUUGCACGCCGAAGUAAUGAUUAAUAGGGGCGGUUGGGGGUAUUCGUAUUCAAUUGUCAGAGGUGAAAUUCUUGGAUUUAUGGAAGACGAACUACUGCGAAAGCAUUUACCAAGGAUGUUUUCAUUA